UACGUAGGGUGCGAGCGUUAAUCGGAAUUACUGGGCGUAAAGCGUGCGUAGGCGGUUUUGCAAGCCAGCUGUGAAAGCCCCGGGCUUAACCUGGGAAUGGCAUUUGGGACUGCAAGGCUGGAGUGUGGCAGAGGAGACUGGAAUUCCUGGUGUAGCAGUGAAAUGCGUAGAUAUCAGGAGGAACACCGAUGGCGAAGGCAGGUCUCUGGGCUGACACUGACGCUCAUGCACGAAAGCGUGGGGAGCAAACAGG
rnacentral:rRNA from 1 species